rnacentral:rRNA from 1 species
GACGAACGCUGGCGGCGUGCCUAAUACAUGCAAGUCGAACGCAGUGGGGACGGGUGAGUAACACGUGGGUAACCUCCCAUCAGAGGGGAUACCACUUGGAAACAGGUGCUAAACCGAUACUGAUGGAUGGACCCGCGGUGCAUUAGCUCGUUGGUGAGGUAACGGCGCACCAAGGCCACGAUGCAUAGCCGACCUGAUGGGGUGAUCGGCCACACUGGGAAUGUGACACGGCCCAGACUCCGACGGGAGGCAGCAGUAGGGAAUCUUCGGCAAUGGACGAAAGUCUGACCGAGCAUCGCCGCGUGAGUGAAGAAGGUUUUCGGAUCGUAAAACUCUGUUGUUGGAGAAGCGGUAUCUAACCAGAAAGCACCGGCUAACUUCGGGCCAGCAGCCGCGGUAAUUC